rnacentral:rRNA from 1 species
UGGGGAAUAUUGCACAAUGGGCGCAAGCCUGAUGCAGCCAUGCCGCGUGUGUGAAGAAGGCCUUCGGGUUGUAAAGCACUUUCAGCGAGGAGGAAGGUGGUGAGCUUAAUACGCUCAUCAAUUGACGUUACUCGCAGAAGAAGCACCGGCUAACUCCGUGCCAGCAGCCGCGGUAAUACGGAGGGUGCAAGCGUUAAUCGGAAUUACUGGGCGUAAAGCGCACGCAGGCGGUUUGUUAAGUCAGAUGUGAAAUCCCCGGGCUCAACCUGGGAACUGCAUUUGAAAACUGGCAAGCUAGAGUCUCGUAGAGGGGGGUAGAAUUCCAGGUGUAGCGGUGAAAAUGCGUAGAGAUCUGGAGGAAAUACCGGUGGCGAAGGCGGCCCCCUGGACGAAGACUGACGCUCAGGUGCGAAAAGCGUGGGGAGCAAAACAGGAUUAGAUACCCUGGUAGUCCACGCUGUAAAACGAUGUCGAUUUGGAGGUUGUGCCCUUGAGGCGUGGCUUCCGGAGCUAACGCGUUAAAUCGACCGCCUGGGGAGUACGGCCGCAAGGUUAAAAACUCAAAAUG